GUGGGGAAUUUUGGACAAUGGGCGCAAGCCUGAUCCAGCAAUGCCGCGUGCAGGAAGAAGGCCUUCGGGUUGUAAACUGCUUUUGUACGGAACGAAACGGUCCUGGCUAAUACCCGGGGCUAAUGACGGUACCGUAAGAAUAAGCACCGGCUAACUACGUGCCAGCAGCCGCGGUAAUACGUAGGGUGCAAGCGUUAAUCGGAAUUACUGGGCGUAAAGCGUGCGCAGGCGGUGCUGUAAGACAGGCGUGAAAUCCCCGGGCUUAACCUGGGAAUUGCGCUUGUGACUGCAGUGCUGGAGUGCGGCAGAGGGGGAUGGAAUUCCGCGUGUAGCAGUGAAAUGCGUAGAUAUGCGGAGGAACACCGAUGGCGAAGGCAAUCCCCUGGGCCUGCACUGACGCUCAUGCACGAAAGCGUGGGGAGCAAACAGGAUUAGAAACCCGUGUAGUCC
rnacentral:rRNA from 1 species